GGGGGACCUUCGGGCCUCUUGCCAUCGGAUGUGCCCAGAUGGGAUUAGCUAGUAGGUGGGGUAACGGCUCACCUAGGCGACGAUCCCUAGCUGGUCUGAGAGGAUGACCAGCCACACUGGAACUGAGACACGGUCCAGACUCCUACGGGAGGCAGCAGUGGGGAAUAUUGCACAAUGGGCGCAAGCCUGAUGCAGCCAUGCCGCGUGUAUGAAGAAGGCCUUCGGGUUGUAAAGUACUUUCAGCGGGGAGGAAGGGAAUGAAGUUAAUACCUUUGCUCAUUGACGUUACCCGCAGAAGAAGCACCGGCUAACUCCGUGCCAGCAGCCGCGGUAAUACGGAGGGUGCAAGCGUUAAUCGGAAUUACUGGGCGUAAAGCGCACGCAGGCGGUUUGUUAAGUCAGAUGUGAAUCCCCCGGGCUA
rnacentral:rRNA from 1 species